rnacentral:rRNA from 1 species
CUUCCUUCGGGAAGUGGAUUAGCGGCGGACGGGUGAGUAACACGUGGGUAACCUGCCUCAAAGUGGGGGAUAGCCUUCCGAAAGGAAGAUUAAUACCGCAUAAUAUGAGAGAAUCGCAUGAUUUUCUUAUCAAAGAUUUAUUGCUUUGAGAUGGACCCGCGGCGCAUUAGCUAGUUGGUAAGGUAACGGCUUACCAAGGCAACGAUGCGUAGCCGACCUGAGAGGGUGAUCGGCCACAUUGGAACUGA